rnacentral:misc_RNA from 1 species
UCCUGGUUAACCCAGGCAGUCUCGUUAGAGUCCCCAGCAUUACCUGUUGGCAACUAACAAUAAGGGUUGCGCUCGUUGCGGGACUUAACCCAACACCUCACGGCACGAGCUGACGACAGCCAUGCAGCACCUGUGCAGCGGUCCCGAAGGAACAGACUAUCUCUAGCCUUUGCCACUGCAUGUCAAGCCCAGGUAAGGUUCUUCGCGUUGCAUCGAAUUAAACCACAUGUUCCACCGCUUGUGCGGGUCCCCGUCAAUUCUUUUGAGUUUCACCCUUGCGAGCGUACUCCCCAGGCGGCAUACUUAUCGCGUUUGCUUCGGCACAGUCGGGGUUGAAACCAACUACACCAAGUAUGCAUCGUUUACGGCAAGGACUAC